ACAAAUAAGGAACAUUCAGAUACUAGAAGAGAGUUCCUGAAAAUUUAAGCCAUGAUAAUUGAAAGGUAAAGGUUAACUUGUCUAAGACUGAUCUCCUGUAGGCUGGCCUCCCAGAGAAAGAGGCUCUCUGCAAUGCUCCGAGGAAAGUAACCAUGGCCCACUGUUUAUGGCAAUCAAUCCUAGUCAACUCUUAUAGUCUAACAUUGGCCCCUACUCUCCAGUCAUGCCAGGGCAAGGCAUGGUACUUCCCUAAUUGUGGCUCCGGAGGUGGUGCUCUUGCCACUUGCUCACUGUGCUAAUAACACCAGGCUUGUCCUCUAGCCCGCAGAUCAUACCAAGAAAGACGCUGGUGAUUCUGUAAUGACGAAGUUUGAAGCCGUGCAGCCCAAGUGUUUUCUGGCAGGGAGAAUUUGCAAGUGAUGACACUGGAUAUUUAGCUGAAGAGAUUUCUAAGCAAAGUUUGGAGUAGCUUGGUUCCUCCUGACUGCUUAUAGCAAAAUGUGAGAAGAGAGAAAUGAUCAGAAGACAGAAUUAGUAAGCAAAAAGGAAGUAGAAAUUAAACAUUUGAAAAAAAUCUCAGCCUAUCCAUAUUGCAAAGACAAAAAUAAAAAGGGAAAAGCACUUUCUGAAGAGAAUACAAAGGAUGUGGCCAAGUGAUUUUUGGGUAAGGAGAUUAGCCUCGGUGUGAAUCACUGACUUAAUCAGCCACCCCAGCAGGAAAACUUCCAAUUUAAACUGAAGAGGAAGAAGAUGGGAAGAACUGAAGAAGGGCUACCAGAAUUUUUCGAUUUUAUAGAAGACUAUAAAGCUAUUUGGCAGUGAAUGUGUGCUUAUUUCCAAGACAAGGGAAGAAUGACGCUAAAGGUGAUUCAGAGAUCAUCAGGGCUGCCUCUUGAAUUUUAAAAGAAGGAGCUUCAACUUGCUUCCACCGACCAGGCAGCCUCCACCCAAAGGCAUGGGGAUAGAGCCACCCAGCUGACCCCUGAAGAGCUACAGGUACAGGACCACUGCCCCAGUGGGUCUGAAAGGCUUUAUUGUGAAGCCAAGUACACAAUGGCAUAGACAAGAUGUUAGCAGAAUGCGGCCAUUUGGCCAGACACUGGGGUUCUCAUUGGUGGGCUGUGAACAGUACAGCAAGAGAAGAGAGUAACUAUUUGAGUGCUGGUGUGUGCUGAUUAAGGUUAAAACAUCAUCUAAUUUAGUCUUCCCAACUAUCCUAUGAAAUAGGUACUAUUAUAUAAAUUUUACAAACGCACUUUCAACAGCUUAUAGGUGGUAAUGUCGAGAUUAGAACCUGAUUUGUCUAUCUUCAAAGCCUAUAUUCUUCCCUCUAUAAUACAUUAGAAGAAAAGGGAACAGAUGGACUGUAAUGGAUCUGUCAGAGACCUUCUCUGUCCAGUAACUCUGCCUUAAAUAUCAGGUACGGUGUCACAGAAAUAGAGAGGAAGGGUGCCCAGAUUUUGUAGAGCUACAGUGGGUGGAAGACUGAUGGGGGGACUAUUCUCCAACAGUGUUUUCUAGGAAUAGAGUGGAGGGCUGUUAUCAGAGUAGAGGCUGGAUCAGGAAAAACACCAAAGUAACUGAGAGGAGAAAAGCUGGUGACCCCUAAGAAUAUGUCAAGCUCUAGGACAUCUAGGACAUCUGGAGAUCACAGCUGAUGAAUUUGCUUCAUUACUUCCUUUUUGUCUUCAUUCAUUCUUUUUUUUUUUAAGUGUGCAAAAUAGAUCAUUACUUAUUUUUUCCUUUUAUAAUUGAAGAUAUAAUACAUAUAACAUAAAAUUCACCUUUUUAAAGUAUACGCUUCAGGCCGGGCAUGGUGGCUCACACCUGUAAUCCUACAGCUUUGGGAGGCUGAGACGGGAGAAUCACUUGAGCCCAGGAGUUCUAGACUAGCCUGGGCAAUAUGGCGAAACCCUGUCUCUACAAAAAAUACAGAAAAAUUAGUAGGGCUUGGUGGCGUGCUGGCGUGCGCCUGUAAUCCCAGCUACCUAGUGGGCUGAGGUGGAAGGAUUGCUUGUGCCCAGGAGGUCAAGGCUGCAGUGAGCUAUGAUCAUGCUACUGCACUCCAGCCUGGGUGACAGAACAAGACUCUGUCUCAAAAAUAAAUAAAUAAACAUUUAAGAAGUAUACAAUUCAGUGGGGUUUUUUUGUUUUUUUUUUUUUUUUUUUUUUUUUUUUUUGGUGCAACCAUGACUACUAUCUAAUUCCAGAAUAUUUCCAUUAUCCCCAAAAGAAGCCCUGUACUUAUUAGGAGUCAGUCCUAAUUCUUGCCUCCUUGAAUCCCCUGGCAGCUACGAAUCUACUUUCUGUUUCUAU
rnacentral:lncRNA from 10 species